GAGAAAGUGACUAAAAUUGCACACAAUUGCUAGCUAGGUCUUUCCUUCUCACUCGACGCAUGAAAUAUGGACUAAGCAAACUUAAACCAACAACGAUUUGACUAGUGUACUCAAUGAACUCUAUCAGCUCGUAACAAUUCCCAAACUAAGAAUGAAUCACCAUAUAAACAUAUAAGCAGUGCACGAGUAAUAUAAUCUCAGCAACAUUAUACAUCAAGCUAUGCGCGAAAUAAAGAUCUAAAGUAGAAAAUGAACCUUGAGUGAAGCAAUAACAGACUUGGAAUAUACAGAGGAACUUCAUAGAGGCUGGAAUAACAGCUACUACAAUAUGAUAGAUCCGCAAUGAAAAACCUCAUCAGAACCACGGACGGAACCUCGUCGUGAACUCAAACCACUCAAACAAAUUCCACUCCGGAGGAUCGAAAAUCCGAAACUAGGGAGAUGAAACAGUAUUUUUAAAUCAUACUCGUACUCGAGGCGUAAAAAUGGGGACCGGUCAGAUCUACAAUUGUUCCGGUAAACAAACAAGACCAUGUCUCAAAGCAGCUUUAAAGCUAAGCUGAAGAUAGUAGCAACAGUAACCAACUAAAUGUUGAAAUGAAGAUGAAGCUCGACUUAAAUUGAGCUUUUCAAUUAACGAGAACCUCUAACGUUACAUAUUCGGUUUGGAUACGAAAUUCCUAUAGCCUAUGACGAUGACUAGAACCUGAACCGUGUACGCCGACGAACUUUGGACUUUGACUUCAAACGGACUCAAAUCCAGACCUCAAACUUACCGGAGUCAGUGACGCUACUACCACGACGAUGAUGACACUGUUAGAUCUAAAACCAUCCGACAUAGAAGUGAAGAACACGAGAAUAGUGGUGAUGAAACAGUCGCCAAAUUAGUUUUCCGGUCAGAUCGAAACCAAAAUUUCCGGCCAGACCAUGAUUGAAACGACAGUAGAGGUGAGGAGAUCAGGAGUUCAGGGUUUGGGAUGUCUUUGUGUUGAACGGCGGGUUCUUCAAUAAAAGGGGUGAUAUGAAGAAAAAGAAUAUAUUCAGGGGGGGUCAUUUGGUGUUCUGCGGUGGAUGUUUAUUUUACUUUAGGUCUAGGUCUUUUUUUAGCUGAUCCCUCUCUAGGUUAGAAUGUUAUCUAUAUCUAGAAUUAAUUAGGUUUUUAGGGUGUUGGGUUUAAUGGGUUUUUGGGCUUUAAAAUUGAAAUUGGGUUGGGUCCAUGUCUUAUUGGGUCUUAAUUUUGGGCUAAGAAGACUAAAAUAUAAAAAUAUAAAAUUUACUCUUAAUUAAUUAGAACACACUACUAAAAUAAAACUAGAUAUUAAAAGUGCAACUAUUUGUUUUGUAUUUUCAAGAUUACAUAAAGAUAAAAGUAAGGUACUACUUUUGUAUUUUUUUUAAUUUUAUGAAAGAUACAUAAAAUAAUAUAUAUUUUUAUUUUUUAUUUUUGUGACGAAAUAAAGUAAAAGAGUCAAAAUUAGUUAAAAUAGCGAUAUUAAGCCUAAACUAAAUAUUUACAUGCUAAAAUAUAAAAAAUCUUGGGGCGGGUCAAAAAUCACAUGUCUACAGUAACUGGGCCAAUAUGGCGACAACUCGUAAUGUAUAACUAUAAGUGGGAAAACACUGUAUCAAUGAACCAUCUUUCUUAAAAUAUGAAUACAUAUGGGCCGUCAAGGCCUCUGACAUACUGUACAAAAUGUUACUCUGUCUAACAAGCCUCUAAGAGUAUUUGACAUCAAAUGGGACAGGGUACCAACCUACCCAUAAGUCUAUAACACAAUUCUGACAUGAUGACUCAUAGACUCGGCUGCACUCCGAAUGAGGUGGAGUCUUACUGAUCCUUCGCGGAAUACUAACCUCGUCUACUAUGAGGGAUCAUCAAACUGAUUGUCUAUACCUACAGGCAUGGAUGCAGUGUCCCCAACAAAAGGACGUCAGUACGAAAAAUGUACCGAGUAUGUAAGGCACAUAAAUAAGUAUAUAAAAGACAUGGAAGAAACAUGGAGUAAAUGACUUAACCUGUAAGUCUUGAUAACUCUAUAAAUCAUGAAAUACUUAUAGUGUCAUGCAUAUGCGUAUGAAUGUCAUGUCGUGCAUAGGUACAUGUAUUCAUAACAUCAUCAAGCCUCUGAGGCAUCCUAUCAUAUCAUUGUUUACCUUGAAAAUGGUAAUAACAAUUAGAUUUGAUUUUCUGGUUCUAAAAAUAUGUGAUAUGUUUUUAUGCUAGUUGUUAGGCAAUAGAUGCUAAGUGAAAGAUUAGAAAAAAUAAGAUAAUAGCUUAUAGAUAGUAUAAUAACCAAACAGAAUGGCUUAAAAUCGAAGCCUCGAGCUUGUGUCUAUGGGGCCUCAAGGUUGAGUUGGGUGCCCGGCUAAGGACAAUCGACGUAGGAUUAACAGUUAUGAUAAAUUCGAUGGUGGCUCUUUAUGAUCGAAAUGAGCUAUAAAUGAAGAACAAUAAAUAGAACACAAUGAAUGUAAGUAAUAAAUGUACGUAGUGAGAUCAAGAGAAUAUGUUAAGUUAGGGAGCAGAGAGAAUAUUCUUGUAUAUCAAUAUUGUGUAUUAGACCCCCCUACAAAAUGGCAAGGAUCCCCUUUAUAUAUGAGGGGGAAUCCCAAUAUAGUUCAAAUGCAUUUAUUACAAAGAUAUGGGAUUGAUACAACCAUUUAAUGCCGUGAUACGGGUUUGAACUAGCCUAAUAGACUUUGUUAGCUCUAGUCACGUGCCUUGGGAACCUCACAUCGAUCCCCCUAGCCACUGGUUUACAUUGCCUCGAGGCUGAUCAUUGUUUACACUGCCACGAGAUCGAUCACUGAGAACCCACGGGGUCGAAACCCGAGCUGAUCUUCGAGCCUUCUAGGGGUUGUCUUUACGAGGCACCUUAAUUAUCAUAAAAUUGGACCACUGAUUUUUACCGUAUACAGAUAGUCCCCGCAUUUCUUAGAGUGAAACGAUAAGAAAUGACUUUGAUAUCUAUCUCCUCGAGUUUUCCGUGAUGAUGUCAUACUUAUGACGUAAGCCUUCGUGAUAACUAGAGCGUCCCAUUGGUUCGUCUUUCCAGAAUCAUUCAAGGUACCGCCAGUUUAUAUUUUUCAAAGAGAAAAUAUCGCCGCCGGUCCAUUUCCCAAAAAUGCAUUAAUUGCACCUGUAGGUACUUUUUCCAAAGACAUUGAUUAUGCCGUCGGUUACGCUUCCACCCUUUCUAUAAAUGGAAGUUUUCUUGAACCAAAACUUCAUUCAAACAUUCCUCAACAGCCUUUUACUCCUCUCUUUUCUUCAUCCUCACCCAACGCUAUUUCCAAUGUUUGAAGCCCGUGGCCAUAAGGUCAUACGGUAGGGUACUCAUCAGUUAUGUCAUGGACCUUUCGCAGAGCUUUCCCCUACUGAGUGGGAUUGCACUGGUUUGUUGUUGUUGGCCCAAAAUAAUGAGAGAGAAAUCUCAAAUUAUCUUCGCAUUAAAGGAUAUGCAGACUAUGAACUUUUACUCAUCUCUCUUAAUUACCCGAUGUGGCACUUCACUCUUUUUGCUUUUCGUGGAGUGAGGUGGUACCAUCUACUAACUGUUGCAUCCCACACCGGCGCAAUGACUCAAGAAGUGGCUUCACAAUAGUAGUGCUGGCGAGACCUAUACUCGCCAGAUUUUUCACCUAGCCACUUCUUUAUUUUUUUCUACUUCUUUAUCUUUUUCUGCUUCUUCUUCAUCUUUUUCUUCUUCUUCUUCUUCUUAUUCAUUGUUUUCUACUUCUUCUUCAAUCUUGAAAAUACCGUUUGAAAGACCGAGAUGAGGCCCCCAAGGAAAUGGUUCCCGAAGAUACUGCCCCCGAGGAUGUAUCCUCGAGAGCAGAUUAGGCUUGUAGCUGUUAUAUGUAUAUAUUUUUUGGCUUUUGUUUCUGCGUAAGGACCCUUCAUGGGCUUUUGUAAUCAUUGUUUACUAAUGAAAAGGUGUUUCUUCAAUUUUAUACCUGAUUUAUGCUGAAUUUCCUUUUAUUUACAUUUGCGAAGAAUCUGAGUUCAUGACCCUACCGAUCAGUCCGAAUACCGGGCUUGGGGUGUAGGUAUUUCCCCCAUUCCUGAUUAGUUAAUACGAUAUCCCGUGGAGCCCUUUAUCGUUCCUCGGUUUGAGCCCAGAUUGAAUUGAUACAAGCUUAGGCCGCCAGGACUCCCGACUUCGAGUUGAGUGAGAGUAAGGCUUCGAAUUUUUAGAAUGAAACUUAGCCUUUCAGACCCCAUCGAUAGUCCUCGAGGGGGAAUUUGCUCGGACGCCUGAGAAUAAAGAUAGCCCUUUGGCUUUCGAAGGCAGUCCCCGAGUGAGAGUUCGCUCAAGCUUGGGCGACCUGAAAAUUUGUUUUGAACUUAGAGCGAUAAUAGCCUUAAGGCGUUAUAGAUAGAUCCCGAAUGAGGGUAUGCCUGGACUCAGAUAGCCCCUGGAUUAAAGUAACCGAGAGGACAUUUAACUUGAUCCGAAGGCGAGAAAUAGCCCUAAGUGUUUAUUAGUAGUUUUUGAGUGAAAAUUAGCUCGGGAUCAGGUAGCUCAAGGGCCAGAGGAUCGGGUAAAUGACCCGCAUUUGCAAUAGCAAAAAUCCUCGAGGUAGGGUACCACCUUGAGGUUAGGGCCGUAUGAGUAGAUUUUUAGAGCUUAUAUUCUUUUUGAUAGAGGUCCUCGAGAUCGGGUACCAUCUUGAGGCUUGUAAUGAUAUCAAUGGCUCCUUAGAGCCUAUCUUCUUCUUGACAAAGAUCCUUGAGAUCAGGUACCAUCUCGACGCUUGUUGAUGCGAGGGUCUUUGAUCCCCAAAACAUCGUACGACAACGUUAAUUGCAUGACAUAGUUAUGAAACGACCGAGGCAAUCCCACUGGUACACCUUACCAAAGCAAAAAUGGCUUAGUCAGUAUUUUUAAUUGGCCUUUGAGGCAGGCGGACAAUCACCGCUUUCUCUAUAUAUAGGGUUGUCUUUCCUCCUUUAAGGAUUCUUCUAUUUUGAGUAGUUAUCCUCAUUCAUAAAGUUCUUCUUUCCUGUGUUAGGUCCUUCACCAUUUCAACUUUGAAGCCCCUGCUCAAAUUCCCUAGUUUUACUACAGUUGUGGCUGCUACGCCAGGGUCCGCUUGACAAGAGGAAGCGAGUUACGCCUUUGGUUCCCGCCUGGUUGGUGGUGCGCCGCUGGUGCUAGGCGAGCCAUCCUCAGGACAUUUUGUUUCGAGGGGGAACUUUCCAUCAGAAAAAACCUCCCAAUGUUCGAGGUCAUUGGGAGUAUGCCUCGAAGUUUAUUUCUUUAAUAGGAGAGGGGCACCUUGAGUUAGUGAGGAAAGAUUGUGGAUGGGGGGAAAAGGUAGUACUGCGUGUACCUUCCCUAGAUGAGAGCAUCAUGGAUCAUGCCGAGGGUCUUUUGAACGUAUACACAUACCCUUUUAUGCUGGGCCUCCUUGAUAGGGUCAUGCUCGGCUUCUAUAGAGAGUACCAGGUUGCCUUGGCACAGGUUCAUCCGUCAUUUUGGAGGAUAGUAUUGAUGAUGAGGUUAUUUGCGGGAGAAGAAGGGCUUAACUUCACCUUAGUCAUCUCAUCAGGUUGUACCAGCCUUUUCACUAUCGAGGUCUGCUAACCCUACGAUGCCGAUCCACCACGCCCUUCGUUGUCGAUAAUGAAGAAGAUGGGGAUCGGGGCUGGAUGAGCCGAUUCAUCUGAGUAUGGACUAUUGAUAUUAUCCACGCGGAGUUUCUGCCAUUUCCUGAGGAAUGAAAUUUUACACUUAAGUGGUACACUUGUACCUUCGUUGUUUUGCUUAUGGGGGAGGCGUGCUCCGUAAAUGCGCCUUUCUUUCCCUUUCUAUAGCAAUUCCAUGGAUGCCAUACGAGGUCCCUGACCUGAUGAAUUGGGCUUGCAAGUUGGCGGCCCACUCGACUUACGAUGAGCGUAAGUGGUGAGCCUUGUCUAAUGGUAUAUGGGAGGCAAAACACCACAGUAUGUGCUAUGUGAUUUGCUCUUUUUUUGAAAGGCACUUUCUUUUUAUGCGUACUAACUCCAUCAUCGUAGGCAUUGGGGAGUUCUUUGAGGUGAGAUCAUGCCUUCUCGGAGAGGGAGAAGGACCGUCAGCUUUGGGGCCGAGGGACAAUAAUAAUAAGCAGGAAGGGCCUUCGCAGAGCAACGGUGAUUAUAGUAAGACGAGUCCAGCCCGGAGGCUCAGAGAGGGUGUAUCAACUGAGCCUACAGCGUCCGAGAUCUCUAGUUUCAGAAAAACAAUCCCUCAUCUGCUGCCGUCUUCUUUUCUAGUCGAAGGUACCUCGAGGAACUAGGGUUCUCUACUGCCGACUUCUUCUCCCGUCAAAGGCACUUCGAGGGAUGUUCAAAGCCAGGGGCCGCAUAUAUCGAGCGAUUGUAUCCCAACCUAGAGUAGUUCUAUUGGGGUUAGUGGAGUCAAACUAGUAGAUACACGCUCAACUUUUGAGGAAGCUCAGCGGCUCUACUCUGUGGUGAGUUUUGGCCAAUCGUAUUGGUUGUAUAAUUUUUGUAAUUUUUACUCUCUUAUCGAGUGUCUCCUUCAUAGGCUUUUAACAAGCUCAAGUCUGAGCUGCUUUAUCAUGAGACCAAGCUGUGAAAAGCCGUUGAUGGGGAGAAAUCCCUCAGGCUUCUUUGCGAUGAAAGGGAAGACGAGUUGGAACACUUGCGAUAUGAGGCGAGUCGAAGUCUGAACUACGAAAGCUACCUCGAGGAGCAGGUAAUUUUUGUUUCAAGGGAGUGUGUGUUUCUUCUUCUAUCUUCUGAGGCUAAUGUUUUGUUUACUUCAGUUUCAGAAAAAGACGGAAGACCUGGAAUGCCUUUGGAGUGAAGUUGUCAAGCCAAGCGUAAGCGUGUUGAGCUAAGGCUCGGGUGGACACCCAGGUUGUGGCUAAGAAGGAUUCUCUGGCCAAGGGUUUCGCCCUCCAAGUGAAACUUUGCAACACUCAUGAGAACAACUUGGUCCGAAUGGACAUGAUUUCAAGGCUCGAGUCUGAGCUUGUGAAUAUGAAGGCUGAAGUUAUGGAUGCCCAGGCUGAAGCUGAAGCAAUCCGAACUAAGGCUGAUAAGAAAGUGGUCGUCUAUUUGAAGGACGCUGCCAACGCUCGUACUAAGCUGAGAGGGGAUCUCGACCAGGAGAGUAGGAGCAAAGAGUAUGUUAGGUGUAAAUCUUAGAGGGAAACCCUCGAGGAGAUCCAUGCCAAGGUCUUUGAUCUCUCAGAAGAGAUAAAGCAGGCGGAGGUAGACGAAUAUGAUGCUAAGUUCCUUUUGUUCGAUGCUAAAGAUAGAGAGAAAGAGGCCGACGGGCCAUAGUCCCCACGGGGGACGUAAAUUAGGCCUUGCUUUUCUGAUUUUAUGUAUAGUGUUUUUAAAGAACAUGGAGCUUUGUAUUUUUUCACAUGUACGUUUAUAAAAGGAAGCCUUGCAGUUUCAUUUUUUACGCACUUCCCUUUGCUUUGACGUUUGUCAGUCAUUAGCCAUAUUGAACUGGUCUUCGAGUUAAAAGGAACCCUUAGGUUUGUAGUACAACCCUGGGGCUCGUGGGGCUGGCCAAUAGGCUCUUACGCAUUUGGUCGGUACGACCUAUUAGCAUGAGCCGACAUUUGAGCUCUUAAGCUUUACUCUUAGGUAUAUUCAGUUAACUGUUUUGAGUUCAGUCUUCGAGUCGGAUUUAGACUCGAGCUCAUUGACCCUUAAGUUUUUGAAUUUAAAGCUGGCCUUUAGGCUCUUAUGCGUUAGGUUGGUACGACCUUUUAUAUGGGUUGGAGACAGUGGCUCUUACGCAUUGGGUUAGUACAACCCUUUAUAUGGGCUGGCGAUAGUGGCUCUUACGCAUUGGGUUGGUACGACACUUUAUAUGGGCUGACGAUAGUGGCUCUUACGCAUUGGGUCAGUACAACCUCUAAUAUAGGCUUUAUUUUUCCAUUGUUAAGGACUUUUUGAAAUUGUGUUUGCCUGACUCUUCGACGGUUCGAUAAAAACCUCAAUUGUGAGUCGUUAUGUGGCGAUGAGAACCUUGGGAGGUUUUGCUCGGUGGCUCAGUGUUUGAAGCCUAUAAUUUGGAGCUGACAUGGUCGAAGCUCUUUUGCCUAUGUCGAGGGUAGCCUGUUUAACCGGUUCUUUUCAAAGUAUUUUCAAAGUAAUUGAAGGCCAGUGAUUUUAUAGUGAUGAUCGGGCAUCCCCGAGUCACAUUAGUUUGGCUGGUACAGCCUUGUGACCGUAGUCAUUGUGUUUGACUGGAGCCUUUUAGUCCCCCAGUGAAGUAGUUUCAGCAUCUGUAUCGAGGGUAUGCCUUUUUAGGGGUCUUACAAGGUCGAAUAUAUAGCCUUAACUUUAAGGUCGGGAUAAUGCCUUUUUGUAAGAUCUUAUAAUUUUUACAUGCCUUUGAGGUCUUACAGUUUUGGUUACUUGGUACAAGUAUGGUUCAUGCCUUGCUUGAGGUCUUAGAGUUUUGGUUACUUGGUACACGUAUGGUUCAUGCCUUGCUUGAGGUCUUACAGUUUUUGGUGUUGCCUUAUAAAGGUCUUACGAGGUUGAGGUUGGCCGUACGGGGUCUUAUGGCCUCGGCAGUCCCUGAGACAUUGAAAGUUUUCUUGGCUCUGGAGCCAUUUUUGUAUACUUGAUGUUGCCAUAUUGAGGGCUUACGAGCUUGAAGCUUCUGACCAGGGGGUCAUACGGUUUUGAGUUUUUGACGUCAGUUCCCGAGUGUUCGGGAUGUUUUUGGCUCUAGAGCCAUUUUUUGUAAAAAAUACCAAACUCCUUUGAAACGCGAAAUGCUUUGAUGGAGGGGAAAGUAUUAUUUGAUUACUUAGUACAAGCAUACACGUUUUGCUGUUAAGGGAUCGAUUAUUCUAUACAGACACAGUUCGUUCGACUAUUUGGCCUGAUACAUCAUUUUCCUAUCGAGACCCCAUUUAGCACGUCUUGCCUUCUAUGAGGAGGUGACCUUCAGGGGGGAUGCCCCCUAGUAUUCGAGGUUGAUUGAAGAGAAGCCUUGAAUACUUGAUGAGUCUUCCUUAGGUAGCAUAUGGAUGUUGCCUCAUUAAAAACCUUGCCGGUAAAACCCUUCUUGGGAUAAAAACCAGGUCGAAGGAAAAGAGUACAACAUAUGCUUUUUGAACCUAAGGCCUUCGAGUUGGAAAGCACUUCGGAUUUCGAUCGGAUACUUGCACUCAGGUUAGUAUAAAAUAUAACUACUAAAAAUAAUGAGAUGAUCAUACCUUAGUGCUAACGGCACUUCGGUCCUCGAUAUGUUUCAAUCGAUUGUUCUGAGGACGCGGUACGGUCCUUUUCUUUGUUAAGUCAGGUGUAGAUGAGAAUAUAGCUUGUUAUUGCUAUUUUACUGUUUGCUUAUCCUUUGGCUCCCUUGACGGUGGAGGUAUUGGCGCCAGUGCCACAUCGUGCACCGCAAACAUCUCUUUUGCUGCAUGUUGUUCCCCGUAGAUGGUUUUUAUCCCACCCUUUGUCAUAAAUUUCAUCAUUUGAUGGAGGGUGGAUGGUACUGCUCUCAUGCAGUGUAUCCACGACCUUCCGAGCAAUGUGUUGUCCCUCAUGUCUCCUUCGAUGACAUGGAGUUUGGCAUUUUGGAUAGUGCCGACCACGUUGACCGGGAGGGUGAUUUCUGAUUUCGUUGUUUUGCUCGCCAUGUUGAACCUGUUGAGGACUCGAGAAGCGGGCACGAUUUGGUUAAGCUGUCUGAGCUGCUCCAUCACCCUCGACCUGAUAAUAUUGGUCGAGAUACCUGGAUCCACAAGUACAUGUUUAAUUUGAAAUGUAUUCACAAGAAAAGAGAUAACCAAUGCGUCGUUAUAAGGCUGAGACAAGGUCUCGAUGUCAUCGUUGCUUAAGGUGCGAGCAUCCUCGGGUAUGUAACCUUGAGUUCGCUUUUCCCUGGUGAUGGAUAUUUUUGUUCUCCUGAUCAUGGGUUCUUAUGGAUCAUCGAUGCCUCCUAAGAUCAUGUGGAUGACAUGUUGUGGCUCAUUUGUUUCAUUCUUCUUGGUCGCCUCUCUUUCCGGAACUAAUUUUUGGCUCGAUUGCUAAGGAAUUCUCGGAGGUGACCUUUGCUGAGUAGUCGGGCUACUUCUUCCCGUAGUUUUCGGCAAUCCUAGGUUCUGUGACUGUGUGUGCCAUGAAAUUCCCACACUAAGUUAUGGUUCCUUUGCGAAGGAUCUAAUUGUAUAGGCCUUGGCCACCUGGUGUCUCUGAUUUUACUGAUGGCGAAUACGAUAUCUGAAAUAUCGACGUUGAAGUUGUAUUCCGACAAGCGAGGUGCCUCCGUUGGCCCUGUGUGCCUGUCGAACCCAGCUCUGUUAACGAGUCCCUAAGGAUUCUAGCCUUGAUCCAUCCUUUGGUCAUUAUGGGGUAUGUUGCGCCCUGGGGCGUUUCUUCUAUCUUCAGUGUAUGGUUGGUAUCUUUCUUUGAUAGGCUUUGUCUCCUUUUCUGGAAGCCUGCUAGGAUAUACCGAGCCCGAGGGGGCUCCUAGUUGGUCGUCUUCAACUCUAAUCUUUGAUUGGUAUCGUUUGUGGACGUCCGACUAAGUCACAACGGGAUAUUCGACUAAGUUCGGCUUCAGCUGCUUCGAAGCUACCGAGCUUCGCUCGUUCAAGCCUUGAGUGAAGUCCUGCACUACCCAGUCAUCGUAGACUGGUGGUAGUUCCAUUCGUUCCAUUUGAAAGCGAGAUACAAACUCUUGCAGCAUCUCAUUCUCCUUUUGCUUGAUUUUGAAGACGCCGGAUUUCCUUGUUGCUACCUUGAUGUCACUAGCAUGUGCCUUUAUGAAGGAAUCUGCCAGCAUGGUGAACGAAUCUAUCGAGUUUGGGGCUAGUUUGUGAUACCACAUCAUCGCCCCUUUCGAAAGCGUCUCUUUGAACUUUUUUAGUAGGACAGAUUCGAU
rnacentral:lncRNA from 1 species